ACCUAAUGGCAAACAAGGAAACACAGCAGGACAAGUCAGGCCUUAUUUGCAUUUUUAUCACCCAGCAUCCCCAUGUGACCAUUUCAGCCAUGUUGGUUAAACAUUCAUGGAAGUUGUGAGUGUAGAGGCACUGAAAUGUCAUUGUCCUUAGCGUGGGACCCAAGGGCAAGAGACCUGCAGAGAUUAUGCUCUGGGGUGAGGGGUCACCCUAAACAGAAAGUCAUUUUUGCGUUCUUGGCUAGUGGCAUAGUCAUCCCACAACAGGAAGUUGGUUUCAUGGUUUGAAGAGAGGACCACAGAUAGGGAUGAUUGUGCUCAAGGGGCCUCUAUGCCAGUGAUUUUUUUUCUUGUAAUAACUUAGCAGGAGCUGUAUGGUGGUAAGAAAUGACCCCUGGCUGGCUCUUGAUUGAUGCUGUAGGGGACAGUAAUAGAUGUGAUUGGACUCUGGGUUUCAACCAUUCCCUUGUGCUAAGGGGUUCUGCCACAAAGGGGAGUCAUCAAGUUUAAUGACCCUCCUUUGCCUUUGGGCUGGGAGAUACCUGACACAGUCCUGGCAACACAGGGCUGAUUCCACAUCCCAGAGGCAUUCCACGACACAGCAAUUUCCUAGGAUCACCCAGCACAGACCAACAGGCCCAUCUAGCCCAGUAUCCCGCCUUUGUCUCUGCCCUGCUCUAGCCCAUUAGGUCACGUUCCCCCUUCCUCAAAGACUUUCUUUUCCUUCUCUGCUGCCAUCAGUUUUUGGGUUAAAAUUUGGGUUUCUCUUGAAAAGCCACUUUUAGUUGUGGGGAAAAAAAUUUGACUGACCCCAGACAGCCCCUCAACAGGCUCACCUGCUUCAUUCUCUCCUCUCACACAGGUAGCGCCCCAUGUGUAACAGCCUCCUAGUAUUUACCCACAAUACCCUUUGACUAAGGCUGUUAAUCUGUGGAUUGGAGGUGAGAGAGGACCCAGGGUGUAGGCUGAGCAGCGUGGAAAGAGGAACUCUAGAAGCAGCUGGGUCUCAGGAGAAGCAGUGCCCCUCGAGGAACUACGACCCCAGCAGGACUCAGCUCCUGCCUCACUGCCCCCAGCCGUCGGUCUGCAGCUGCGUAGAGAAGAGCCCCUUGCCACGUGGGCUGGGUGUUGCCCCGGCUGCGGGACGACGCCAGAGAUGGGAAUUGCAGCGCAGUGGAGCCUAUAAGGCUGGCCUGCUUGCUUGUCUGCCUGCCUUUUCUUAUGGGUUUCCUCUGGGUUGAUUGUUUGUUUCACUGUACUAGGUUUCUAGGUUUAUAUUAGAAUAUUUUUGGCUGUAACGCGAGGAACGUACGGGCCACAUCCGGGAUGCGGAGCCAAGGCACAGGUAGCGAAAACCUGUUCUAGACCUUUCACCUACUUGGCUGAUAAGCUAAAGCGCACGCUCCGUAUAUGGUGGUGACUUUGAACACACCUAAGUGAGGAUGAGUUGAAGCAAGUUAGUAUGGGGGGGAGGUACCUAUGUCCAGAUGCUCUUUAAACGUAACAGGCAGACGGCAAAGAACGUGGGGAGAACCGGUUAGGCCAGAAAUAGCAGAGGUGAGACUGAGCUAAUGGCAUUGGUAGGUCCGUACGUGGCAUUACUACGUACAAACCUUCCAGCCUAGGGAGUAACCGUAUCCUGAUACUUUGUGGAAACUAUCUCAGGUGCUCAAGCUCUCUGGAAGGGGUGACCCGCCAGGCUGGAGUCGUUCUCGCUCUUCAUUGUUAGUUUGUCUUAGUCCCUCACCAAAGGCUCUUACGUAAAUUAAGCUGUCAUGGGAUAAAAGGGAAGGUCCUUUCAUGGGCUGAGAAAUGGUAAACUCAGGUAUACAGGGUAAACUCAUACAUUGUUUGCCCUCUAGACCACUGAUAGAGAGAUAUGCACAGCUGUUUCCCUCUACCCCCUGCAGGUAUUAAUCCACACUCUGAGUCAAUUAAUAAGUAAAAAGUGAUUUUAUUAAGUACAGAAAGUAGGAUUUAAGUGGUUCCAAGUAGUAACGGACAGAACAAAGUGAAUUACCCAGUAAAAUAAAAUAAAACACGUAAAUCUAAA